rnacentral:SRP_RNA from 1 species
UGGCGGGUCUAGGCGGGGGGCUAGGGGUCCCCUGUACCAUAAACCCUCUAUACGAUGGGCCGAGAGCCUGGGUGAGGCGUCAAAGAUCGUCAAGCCUCCUCAGCCUUCUGCCAGUGAGUAUCCGUCCCUUGGGGCUGGCGGUCGUGGUGCAGCCGAAAGGUUGCUUCUGCGUUUGCCAGGUGAACCUGGCCAGGCCCGGGAGGGAGCAACCUAAGCUUGGACGUUCGGCGCUCAGGGGGGUGCGGGUAUGAGUGUAGAUGUUGGGGAGAUUGGUGGAAACUGGACGUCGAUCCCUGGUGACCCGCCG